UGAUGUCAAGUCAGCAUGACCUUUAUAUCCAGGGCUCACACACGCUACAAUGGUCUGUACAAUGGUAGCCAAGCCGCGAGGCGGAGCCAAUCCUGAAAGCAGGCCUCAGUUCAGAUUGCAGUCUGCAACUCGACUGCAUGAAGCCGGAGUUGCUAGUAACCGCAGGUCAGCAAUACUGCGGUGAAUACGUUCCCGGGUCUU
rnacentral:rRNA from 1 species